GACGAACGCUGGCGGCGUGCUUAACACAUGCAAGUCGAACGGGAAGGCUCUUCGGGGUACACGAGUGGCGAACGGGUGAGUAACACGUGGGUGAUCUGCCCUGCACUUCGGGAUAAGCCUGGGAAACUGGGUCUAAUACCGGAUAGGACCACUGCCUGCAUGGGCGGUGGUGGAAAGCUUUUGCGGUGUGGGCUGGGCUCGCGGCCUAUCAGCCUGUUGGUGGGGUGGUGGCCUACCAAGGCGACGACGGGUAGCCGGCCUGAGAGGGUGACCGGCCACAGUGGGACUGGGAGACGGGCCAGAAUCCAACGGGAGGCAGCAGUGGGGAAUAGUGCACGAUGGGCGAAAGCCUGAUGCAGCGACGCCGCGUGAGGGAUGACGGCCUUCGGGUUGUAAACCUCUUUCAGCACCGACGAAGCGCAAGUGACGGUAGGUGCAGAAGAAGGACCGGCUAACUACGUGCCAGCCGCCGCAGUAA
rnacentral:rRNA from 1 species